rnacentral:rRNA from 1 species
UACGUAGGUGGCGAGCGUUGUCCGGAAUUACUGGGUGUAAAGCGCGUGUAGGCGGGAGGCCAAGUCUGUGGUGAAAUCGCUCGGCUUAACUGGGCGGGGUCCAUGGAAACUGGUCACCUGGAGGUCGGUAGAGGCAAGUGGAAUUCCCGGUGUAGUGGUGAAAUGCGUAGAGAUCGGGAGGAACACCGGUGGCGAAGGCGGCCUGCUGGGCAGUUGCUGACACUGAGGCGCGACAGCGUGGGGAGCAAACAGG